rnacentral:lncRNA from 1 species
UCGCUGUCCUGUCCCUAUCGAUGUGGAUGUAGCAGUCCUGUCCUGUCCCUCUCAAUGUGGAUGUAGUAGUCCUGUCCCUAUCGAUGUGGAUGUAGCAGUCCUGUCCUGUCCCUCUCAAUGUGGAUGUAGUAGUCCUGUCCUGUCCCUCUCAAUGUGCAUGUAGCAGUCCUGUCCUGUCCCUCUCAAUGUGGAUGUAGCAGUCCUGUCCUGUCCCUCUCAAUGUGGAUGUAGCAGUCCUGUCCUGUCCCUCUCAAUGUGGAUGUAGUAGUCCUGUCCUGUCCCUCUCAAUGUGGAUGUAGUAGUCCUGUCCUGUCCCUCUCAAUGUGGAUGUAGCAGUCCUGUCCUGUCCCUCUCAAUGUGGAUGUAGCAGUCCUGUCCUGUCCCUCUCAAUGUGGAUGUAGCAGUCCUGUCCUGUCCCUAUUGAUGUGGAUGUAGCAGUCCUGUCCUGUCCUUCUCAAUGUGGAUGUAGCAGUCCUGUCCUGUCCCUCUCAAUGUGGAUGUAGCAGUCCUGUCCUGUCCCUAUCGAUGUGGAUGUAGCAGUCCUGUCCUGUCCCUAUCGAUGUGGAUGUAGUAGUCCUGUCCUGUCCCUAUCGAUGUGGAUGUAGUAGUCCUGUCCUGUCCCUAUCGAUGUGGAUGUAGCUGUCCUGUCCCUAUCGAUGUGGAUGUAGCUGUCCUGUCCCUAUCGAUGUGGAUGUAGCUGUCCUGUCCCUAUCGAUCAGGGGUCAGGGUUUACUAAUAAUUCAUGUAGCAUCUCCCCUCUGUUGUGUCUGUCACACAGCGACAGUGUUUCUGUCUGAUAUCACAGGAUAUAUCCAAGAAAGAGUUUACAGAUCAUCUCAGCACCUACCCGUCAUUCGAUAAGGGUAAAUAAGUAACUUGACCACCAUAGGCAAUAAUGUAGCUUUGGUUAAGCUGGUUACAGGUGAGAGUCAGCCAGAGAGAGGAACGUAGCUACUGACAUUUGUAAGUGUUGGGAUUGUAAGUGUUGUUUGUUUUGUUGGCAACUCUCAGAAGUGUAGCGAAGACAGCCAGCCACCAAUCACUGUGAUAAAAAACUGUAAUAUUGACCCCACAACUGUGAGCCCACACAAAUCCACCCCAAACCUGUCUCCUUUCCUCUCACCCCUCCUCAUGUCUGUACAACCCUACCCUGUUUCCCAUCAGAAAUGUAUUGUUGGAUGUUCGUUUAAAGGAAAGCAAUAACUUUGGUUGAAGGUGUGUGUGUGUGUGUGUGUGUGUGUGUGUGUGUGUGUGUGUGUGUGUGUGUGUGUGUGUGUGUGUGUGUGUGUGUGUGUGUGUGUGUGUGUGUGUGUGUGUGUGUGUGUACUAUGAUCCCCCUGAUCCCUCACUACUUUGACCUUCGAUGUACUGUCUGAUCAGGAGCGAUGCCAGAACCCGAGUAACCCACUUGCUAUCCACUUGACCUGCAUGGAACAUAAAGAGUUUUGGUUGUGUAAAGUAGACCAAGGAGACAAGUUAGUGGACUGAGUAACUGGUUAGGGUUGUUUGAGAGUUCUCUUAAUCCAUAUGUUUUUAUCCCAGUCCCAACCAUGUUUGGCUUGUGUGUGAUUGUGUGUGUUUGAAGGUUGAGGGGGGGGGCAAGGAAUCUUCAUACCAGCCAUUCCCUGAGUUUUAUGCAAGCUGUCAAAUGUCUCAUUUUCAAACUCAUCAAGGGAAUGUAGCAACACUGAAAAACAGCUAAAAGUGUCCACUCAUUGUUGAUUUAAGCCUUAAUGACAUUCAUAUUUUACUUUAAGGAAACAUUUGAAUGGUGAGUGUGUGAGUGCAUGUGAUGAGUCCUCUGAUUGUAAGUACAAUUGAGACUGACACAGUAUAACAGCAUUUAGUUUUGACAAAUGACAGUGCAGGGUUGAGGGAGGUAAAUCAGCAUGGGUGUGAAGGUGAUAUGACACUACUGGUGGACAUAAGAGGCUCUCCAGUCCACAACCUAAUUCAUACAAAACAUGGUCACAGUAAUGUUACCUCAGUACAUUAUACCAUCCUACAUCAUAUUAGAUGUAUAGAUCAUCUUGGCAUUGUACUGUAACUGAUCUAAUACAUUACAUUUCUCAUAUCGAAGGAAAAUGUGUCACAAACACUCCAGCGAGUAUAUGAAUCAACACUCUGCAAUAAUAAUACCUAUACAUGUAAAUGGAUCUCCAUGUCCAUGCUUUAUCCGCCUCUGUAGCCACAGAUAAUGAAUGUAAGGUGUUGCUCUGUAGAUGUUAGUUGAGUAGGAAGGCUAGAUGUCAGGCCGUUUGAGUCUAUCUACGGAACUCAGGAUCUGUUAUUGUUUAUCAAAGAAACUGUAUAAAACUGAACACUCUUAUAUAUGCAUACAUAUUCACAAGUCAAUACCCAUCCAUGCAUAAUCAGAACAUGAGAAUGAGCAAGAGAAAGAGAACAGAUCUUCAGCUCAGGAUUUUGCUUUGAGAAUCUAUCCCUCCCUCUGCGGGGGGGUCGACGGGGUCGACAGGGAAAGCAGACUGGGCUAUGGGGGAAGAGCGUUAGUUAGACAACUCUCUGAGAAUACAUGGUGGCUUCAUUUGCUAGGUUUUUUUAGAUGACAAGCAUUUGUCCUCAACACCGCCCACCCCCAUUCCAUCCCUGCUCCCUAAAACCAAAAAGAGAUUGAGCCAGUUCUAAGGCUUCCUUCCACACAGUGACAGGUUGAGCGGAGGAAUCAAUGAGAGGGAGGAGUGGAUAGGACUUUAGACUUAUUCAAAGUUAUAGUGAAAAUAUCAUGAACUGAAGGACUAUGGAGGUGACGACAUAAACCAAGUUCAUGCAAAAAAUAUUAACUGUUGCAAAAACUAGAGAACACAUAUACUCCUUUAGAAUGUAUUGAAGACAUUAUUAACGCAAUAGCAUAUUACUCAAAACUUAGGAAUGCAACUGCGCACAUGCACAGCAAAUGUUUUAAUAUAAAUGAAUAUAUAUAUAAUAUAUGAAAAUCUAUAUUUACUUAGAAUGCUAUGCACCCUUGUCAACAGGAUUAUAGUAAUGUUAUGGAUGUACUUUUGGCAUCAUAGCUACCAAGAGACUGUUGAGUUAUGGGUAAUGCCUGAAACCUGGGAAAAAUAGGGGUCUUGUGGGUAUUUUAACUUGUUUUGUUUGCUUUUUUUUAUUGUUAUGAAGAGGUCAAAUACGGAAAACAUAUAUAAAUGUACAAUCCUUUUAAUCAAAUGAAAUCCGAUGACAUCUAUAGAUAAUUUACCCUGUACACCAGCUCAAAUCAUUUACAAAAUUAAUAAAGAAAUGAAAUGUCCCUGUGUGUGUUUGAGUUUGUAUGAGAUUAGUA